rnacentral:snoRNA from 14 species
CCCUGCAUUCGAAAGUGAUCGUGGGCUGCCCGUGCCCUGGUCAUUGAUAGUGCAGGGAGAGCAGCUGCUGAAAGCGCUUCCCCGUGUUUGGAGGGUCCGCGCCGUCCCUGCCGAACCCUGGAGCGUUCGCACA